UACGUAGGGUGCGAGCGUUAAUCGGAAUUACUGGGCGUAAAGGGUGCGCAGGCGGUCCUGCAAGUCAGGCGUGAAAUCCCCGGGCUUAACCUGGGAAUGGCACUUGAAACUACGGGACUGGAGUAUGGCAGAGGGAGGUGGAAUUCCACGUGUAGCGGUGAAAUGCGUAGAGAUGUGGAGGAACACCGAUGGCGAAGGCAGCCUCCUGGGCCAAUACUGACGCUCAUGCGCGAAAGCUAGGGGAGCGAACAGG
rnacentral:rRNA from 1 species